CUUAUUUUUCCUAAUUUCUUUUCUCUUUUACGUAUUUAAUUUAUGGAGGUUUUCUGGGACCUCACAUUAUUGAUGUUUCCCCAAACUAUAUGAUUUAGCAUCAACACCAACCAAUAAAUCAAACUGAUUUGUUGACAGAACUCUACCAAACAGGCAAAACUUGUUGCAGGCUAGAAUUGUCAACAAUGCCAUUUUUGCCUGGAGAUUCCAGAUUUGGCAAGAUUUAUCCAGUCUCCAGUUUUACUGGUAAUUUCUCCAGGAAUGAGGGAAAGCAAUAAAUAUUAUUUUUUAAUCUUAAAAAACAAUUUGUUUAUUAUUCUGCAAUAUUUAUUACACAAGAUUAAAUAAUUAAGUUGACAAUGCAUCAUUCAUUUCAUGCAUGCAGCAGGUGUUAUUUUAAUAUCAUUCUAGAUAUAGAAUUAGAAAUGUUUAAAUUGAGUGAGUUAGAAUUUGAAAACAAAACUAAAAAUUUUGAGCUUUGUUGGAAGUAAUUAUUUUUACAUCCAACUAUUGGACUUAUUUACAUAUUCAGUAUUUCAGUAGGCAAUCAAGGAAAAAGUUGUGGAUUAGGGUUGGUGAUUUGGAUUUUUUUUAGUUUUUAAAUGAAAACCCUACCUCGUUAUUACUAAGUCGAUUUUAGAAGAGAAAGAAAACCCUACCUUCACAAGCAUAUUUCAGCUUUAUACAUUUAUUAAUAAGUAUUUAUCAUUUUAUCAUUAUCAUAAAAAAAUAAAAACUUGACCAUCAGCUUAACUGAAAUAUCCAUCAGACAUGAAAAUAGUUAUUGUCAUUCUUUUUUUUUAUUAUGUAAGUUAUAGUUAUAUAUCGGUUUUUACUAUACAUUUUAUAUAAUAUUUCCAGUUUCCAUUUUCUACCCCUAAAAUGUCUGACAAGAUUGACAAGAAUGAAAACAAUAUUGGUGAUGAUGAAGUGCUAAAAAAGAAUGAAAACAAUAUUGGUGAUGAUGAAGUGCUAAAAAAGAAUAUCAAAACAUUGCUAUACAAACCUCAAUAACUACUGGCUAAAAAAAUGUGAGAUAUCAGAAUUGGUUACAGAAACAAAAUGAAUUCACAGUUAAGUGCAAAAUUUGUGAUAUUACUUUUAUUGUUAAACAUGAGGUGAAAAAUCUGUUAAACAUCAAGAGGUAUCUAUUCAUGCCUUUGCAUCAUGAAGCAUAUAAACAAACUAUAUUUACACAGAAGGGUAAGUCAGAGGAUAGCAAUGUUUUUUGUUGAAAAGGAAUCUAAAAAUCAAUUAAAAGUUUGCAUAACUGAAUUAACAUCCAUGUAUUAUGCAGUAAUCCAUCAAUAUACUUACAAUAACUUAGAUUGUAAGAUCAAUUGUAUCGUUUUAUCAUCACAAGACUUUUCAAAGAUUCGUCACUUUCCAAACAAAUUCAUUAUGGGAGAACAAAAGCAUUUUCUUUUGAAUGAUAUCAAGCAAAAUGAGACAAAUUUUUGAUAUUUUUCAAUUUUAUCAGAAAAUCCAAUAGGGGCAACAACGAGUUUCUCUUGCUCUAGUUAUCUGUUACUGUAUUCCAGAGCAGUGUGUAAAACAUAAAAUUUUAUAUUUUUAUACUAAUGAUUACAAGUUGUCUGAACUAAAAAUGAAGAAAAUAACUGAGUGUCUAAAAGAGAAUGAUUUGUCAAUUGAAUAUGUCACAUCUUAUUCAGUUGACAAUGUCUUAGUUACCGUAUAUACUCGAAUAUAAGCCGAUCCGUGUAUAAGCCGACCCCCCGACUUCAG
rnacentral:lncRNA from 1 species